rnacentral:rRNA from 1 species
CGGGAAUAAAUANAUAAGACGAGAAGACCCCMUGGAGCUUUAAGCUUACUGCACCUCUAUUUUCUAUAACCUCUUAUUAAACGGAAUACUGCUUACUUAGCUUUAGGUUGGGGUGACCGCGGAGUAUAACAUAACCUCCAUGAUGAACAAAACUAUUUUCUUAUCUAAGAACAACAGUUCUAAGAAUUAGUAUUCUAACAUAAAAUGAUCCGAUAAUCGAUCAACGGACUAAGUUACCCUGGGGAUAACAGCGCAAUCCAUUUCAAGAGCCCCUAUCGACAAAUGGGUUUACGACCUCGAUGUUGGAUCAGGAUAUCCUAGUGGUGCAGCAGCUACUGAAGGUUCGUUUGUUCAACGAUUAAAAUCCU